rnacentral:rRNA from 1 species
CCUAACACAUGCAAGUCGAGCGGUAGAGAGAAGCUUGCUUCUCUUGAGAGCGGCGGACGGGUGAGUAAUGCCUAGGAAUCUGCCUGGUAGUGGGGGAUAACGUUCGGAAACGGACGCUAAUACCGCAUACGUCCUACGGGAGAAAGCAGGGGACCUUCGGGCCUUGCGCUAUCAGAUGAGCCUAGGUCGGAUUAGCUAGUUGGUGGGGUAAUGGCUCACCAAGGCGACGAUCCGUAACUGGUCUGAGAGGAUGAUCAGUCACACUGGAACUGAGACACGGUCCAGACUCCUACGGGAGGCAGCAGUGGGGAAUAUUGGACAAUGGGCGAAAGCCUGAUCCAGCCAUGCCGCGUGUGUGAAGAAGGUCUUCGGAUUGUAAAGCACUUUAAGUUGGGAGGAAGGGUUGUAGAUUAAUACUCUGCAAUUUUGACGUUACCGACAGAAUAAGCACCGGCUAACUCUGUGCCAGCAGCCGCGGUAAUACAGAGGGUGCAAGCGUUAAUCGGAAUUACUGGGCGUAAAGCGCGCGUAGGUGGUUAGUUAAGUUGGAUGUGAAAUCCCCGGGCUCAACCUGGGAACUGCAUUCAAAACUGACUGACUAGAGUAUGGUAGA